rnacentral:rRNA from 1 species
GACGAACGCUGGCGGCGUGCUUAACACAUGCAAGUCGAACGGUAAGGCUCCAGCUUGCUGGGGUACACGAGUGGCGAGCGGGUGAGUAACACGUGGGUGACCUGCCCUGCACUUCGGGAUAAGCCUGGGAAACUGGGUCUAAUACCGGAUAGGACCGCACCGUGAGGGUGUGGUGGAAAGUUUUUUCGGUGUGGGAUGGGCCCGCGGCCUAUCAGCUUGUUGGUGGGGUAAUGGCCUACCAAGGCGGCGACGGGUAGCCGGCCUGAGAGGGUGGACGGCCACAUUGGGACUGAGACACGGCCCAGACUCCUACGGGAGGCAGCAGUGGGGAAUAUUGCACAAUGGGCGGAAGCCUGAUGCAGCGACGCCGCGUGGGGGAUGACGGCCUUCGGGUUGUAAACUCCUUUCACCAUCGACGAAGGGUUUCUGACGGUAGAUGGAGAAGAAGCACCGGCUAACUACGUGCCAGCAGCCGCGGUAAUACGUAGGGUGCGAGCGUUGUCCGGAAUUACUGGGCGUAAAGAGCUCGUAGGUGGUUUGUCGCGUCGUCUGUGAAAUUCCGGGGCUUAACUCCGGGCGUGCAGGCGAUACGGGCAUAACUUGAGUACUGUAGGGGAGACUGGAAUUCCUGGUGUAGCGGUGAAAUGCGCAGAUAUCAGGAGGAACACCGGUGGCGAAGGCGGGUCUCUGGGCAGUAACUGACGCUGAGGAGCGAAAGCAUGGGGAGCGAACAGGAUUAGAUACCCCGGUAGUCCAUGCCGUAAACGGUGGGCGCUAGGUGUGGGUUUCCUUCCACAGGAUCCGUGCCGUAGCUAACGCAUUAAGCGCCCCGCCUGGGGAGUACGGCCGCAAGGCUAAAACUCAAAGGAAUUGACGGGGGCCCGCACAAGCGGCGGAGCAUGUGGAUUAAUUCGAUGCAACGCGAAGAACCUUACCUGGGCUUGACAUAUACAGGAUCGCGCCAGAGAUGGUGUUUCCCUUGUGGCUUGUAUACAGGUGGUGCAUGGUUGUCGUCUGCUCGUGUCGUGAGAUGUUGGGUUAAGUCCCGCAACGAGCGCAACCCUUGUCUUAUGUUGCCAGCACGUUGUGGUGGGGACUCGUAAGAAACUGCCGGGGUUAACUCGGAGGAAGGUGGGGAUGACGUCAAAUCAUCAUGCCCCUUAUGUCCAGGGCUUCACACAUGCUACAAUGGUCGGUACAGUGGGUUGCCAGUCCGUGAGGGCGAGCUAAUCCCGCAAAGCCGGUCUCAGUUCGGAUCGGGGUCUGCAACUCGACCCCGUGAAGUCGGAGUCGCUAGUAAUCGCAGAUCAGCAACGCUGCGGUGAAUACGUUCCCGGGCCU